AGAGUUUGAUCCUGGCUCAGAACGAACGCUGGCGGCGUGCCUAACACAUGCAAGUCGAACGGAACCAAGGGGCUUGCUCCUUGGUUUAGUGGCGCACGGGUGAGUAACGCGUGGAUAAUCUGCCCUGGUAUCCGGGAUAACAUUUCGAAAGGAGUGCUAAUACCGGAUAAGCCCACGGGGUCUUCGGACCUUGCGGGAAAAGGUGGCCUCUGAAUAUGCUACUGUAUCAGGAUGAGUCCGCGUCCCAUUAGCUAGUUGGCGGGGUAAUGGCCCACCAAGGCAUCGAUGGGUAGCUGGUCUGAGAGGAUGAUCAGCCACACUGGAACUGAGACACGGUCCAGACUCCUACGGGAGGCAGCAGUGGGGAAUUUUGCGCAAUGGGGGAAACCCUGACGCAGCAACGCCGCGUGAGUGAUGAAGGCCUUCGGGUCGUAAAGCUCUGUCAGAGGGAAAGAAGUGUAGGAGGGCUAAUACCCCUUUUACUUGACGGUACCCUCAAAGGAAGCACCGGCUAACUCCGUGCCAGCAGCCGCGGUAAUACGGAGGUUGCAACCGUUGUUCGGAAUUAUUGGGCCUUAAAGCGCGUGUAGCCGGUUUUUUAAUCCUAAUGGAAAACCCCCGGGUCCACCCUGGGAAGUUCCUUUGAAUCUUGGCAAAUUGAAUACGGAAAAGGUUAAUGGAAUUCCUUGUUAAGGAAUGAAAUCCGUUAAUUCCGGGAGAACCCCGUUGGCAAAGGGGCUUCCUUGCACCGAU
rnacentral:rRNA from 1 species